rnacentral:rRNA from 1 species
AUUGAACGCUGGCGGCAGGCCUAACACAUGCAAGUCGAGCGGAUGAGGAAAGCUUGCUUUUCGAUUCAGCGGCGGACGGGUGAGUAAUGCCUCGGAAUCUGCCUGUUAGUGGGGGAUAACUCGGGGAAACUCGGGCUAAUACCGCAUACGUCCUACGGGAGAAAGUGGGGGAGCUUCGGACCUCACGCUAACAGAUGAGCCUAGGUCGGAUUAGCUAAUAGGUGAGGUAAUGGCUCACCUAGGCGACGAUCCGUAACUGGUCUGAGAGGAUGAGCAGUCACACUGGAACUGAGACAAGGUCCAGACUCCUACGGGAGGCAGCAGUGGGGAAUAUUGGACAAUGGGCGAAAGCCUGAUCCAGCCAUGCCGCGUGUGUGAAGAAGGUCUUCGGAUUGUAAAGCACUUUAAGUUGGGAGGAAGGGAAUUCACCUAAUACGUGGGUACUUUGACGUUACCAACAGAAUAAGCACCGGCUAACUCUGUGCCAGCAGCCGCCGUAAAAC